CUUAUUUUGCCCACAGCUCAUGCAAAUAGGCAUACAUUGUGAGGCAAAUGAUACGCAAAAUGACAAGACAGAGAUAGGCGCCUGUUAUCUUGGAAAUAUUCCUUUCAGGACAAAGCAACUUACUCCGUUUAAGACAGCAGCAAGAACAGAUUUGCCUUUUCAAGCAAAAACUUCAGAAGGCAGGUGGAACUAAGCUAGUAGACCAAUUUCAAAGAAAUCAGUAUAUGGAGAGACUAGAAAUGGAUUCUAUGUUAAAAAUCAAGUUUUCAAACAAGAUGAAAUCUACAUAGUUUUACCAGUUGUGGAGGAAGGAGUCUGCCAGCUGCAAUGAACUGUAAUGUCAAGAAGAUACCAUCCCAAGAGCAUCAGUUACUGUAAACUACAUCAAGUGGCUGGGUAUUCUGAUCCAUUGCAAAAUUUCUGUUGACUUCACUAUGCCAAGGUUUUCAUCUGAGGUGUUUGUCAGUGC